rnacentral:rRNA from 1 species
AUUGAACGCUGGCGGCAGGCCUAACACAUGCAAGUCGAGCGGAGCGGCGGACGGGUGAGUAAUGCCUAGGAAUCUGCCUGGUAGUGGGGGAUAACGUCCGGAAACGGGCGCUAAUACCGCAUACUAUCAGAUGAGCCUCGGUCGGAUUAGCUAGUUGGUGGGGGAAAGGCCUACCAAGGCGACGAUCCGUAACUGGUCUGAGAGGAUGAUCAGUCACACUGGAACUGAGACAAGGUCCAGACUACUACGGGAGGCAGCAGUGGGGAAGAUGGGACAAUGGGAGAAAGGAUGAGCCAGCAAUGACGCGUGUGGGAAGAAGGUCUUCGGAGUGUAAAGCACUGUAAGUGGGGAGGCGGUACAAACAGAAGAAGCAAAGGCUAACUUCGUGACAGCAGCCGCGGUAAUUC